rnacentral:rRNA from 1 species
UACGUAGGGGGCGAGCGUUGUCCGGAAUUACUGGGCGUAAAGGGCGCGUAGGCGGCCCGCUAAGUCCGUUGUGAAAGACCGAGGCUCAACCUCGGAGUGUCAACGGAGACUGGUAGGCUGGAGGGUCGGAGAGGAGCGGGGAAUUCCCGGUGUAGUGGUGAAAUGCGUAGAGAUCAGGCGGAACACCCGUGGCGAAGGCGGCCAGCUGGGCCGUCCCUGACGCUGAGGCGCGAAGGCGUGGGGAGCGAACGGG